rnacentral:rRNA from 1 species
CACCUCGAUGUCGGCUCAUCACAGCCUGGGGCUGUAGUAGGUCCCAAGGGUUGGGCUGUUCGCCCAUUAAAGUGGUACGCGGGCUGGGUUCAGAACGUCGUGAGACAGUUCGGUCCCUAUCCGUCGCCGGCGUAGGAAAUUUGAGAAGACCUGUCCUUAGUACGAGAGGACCGGGAUGGACGUACCUCUGGUGUACCAGUUGUCCUGCC